rnacentral:lncRNA from 1 species
GGGGGGGUAAGAUGUACGCAGUCCAUACCUCUACCUCUGAUGAAGUAGAAAGGCUGUUUCCGAUAGACCCCCGGCUCAAGACACGAGAUACCACACAAACACAUAGUAAAGCACAGAAGCAGAUUACAUAUCAUAAAUAUGGCACCUAUAAGUAAUAUAAAACCCAAACUGGCCCUAAUCCUCUGCCGAAAUUUGCUCCCUCCAGACCUUCCUAUCUAGGGUCAUGUCCUCGGUGAGCUGUAACUGUUCCAUGUCCCGCCUAAUCACCUCGCCCCAGUACUUCUUCGGCCUACCCCUACCCCGCCUAAAACCAUCCAACGCUAGCCUCUCACACCUACAGACCGGGGCAUCCAUGCCCCUCCUCUUCACGUGUCCGAACCAUCUCAAUCGUGCUUCCCGCAUCUUGCACUCCACUGAAGUCACACCAACCUUCUCCCGGAUAGUUUCAUUCCGAACUCUAUCCCCUCUAGUCAGUCCACACAUCCAGCGCAACAUCCUCAUUUCUGUCACCUUCAUUUUCUGGAUGUGGGAGUUCUUAACUGGCCAC